rnacentral:lncRNA from 1 species
GUCAACAUACAUAGUUCAAACACAAACAGAGAAAAGAGGAAUUGGGAACAUACAGGUUUGGAACAACAUAAAUGGAGAAAACAUUUGAUACAAGUAUAUAGAACAACUAUAAAUAUAUUUGAAAAAAUUAGUCAUAGUAACAGAUAUUUAAAACAUAGGGAAGAAUGCAGCAAUGUUAUGUUGAAGACGGGAUUCUUGUUGAACAAAAUUUGACAUACCAUUAGGUCCAAUAGAAUGCACUAGAAGACUAAGUAACUACAUGUUAUACCAGUUAAGGGAGGGGUAAGGGAACUAAGUGAGCAUGCUAGACAAGUUUCAAAGAACUAAGUAAAGUUUGAUAUAAUGAUUACACUCAAGGCAAGAAUUUAGACAUGAUCAAUAACAUCAGACAUAGAAAAAUUGAAUAACUAGUAUAGUAACAAGUAUGGAUGUAUAGGCAUAGAACACAUAAAGGUUGAGUUUCAAAUUUAAAUUAGAGACAUACCAGUUGAAGAAGUAAAGUGCAAAAAGUAAAGUAAGUAGAGUUCCACAGUCUAGCCUCGACUUUCAGCCGGCUAGACAAGCAAUUAGCACAAGUGUUAGAGAAAGAAGAGAGAGUUUAAGUGUUUGUGUGUGUAUUCUCCACUGUUGUUCGUGUUAAGACUGUAAAAGAGAGUCGUUUAUAUAGUAGUUUGAAAUCUCGUUAAAUAAGGCAAGAAUCAAUUCUUCAAUAAUUAUAGAACUCGGUAUAAAAAAUUAGUUCGAAUCUCCAUUUGAUCAAGGGAGUUAGUAUAAAUGGUAAAGAGUAAGGAAACAAAUCAUACACGGCUGAAGUAUAACAAAUAAGGAAAGAUUAAAAAAUAGUACCAGCAUAGAAUAGGUAAUUAAGGCUAGCUUUAGAAAGUUUUCAAACUAAAGAGACAAUUAGUAGCAAUGCAGACAAGGCAAGGAAAAUUAAUUAUGGUAAGCAACUAAUGAAAUUAAGUGGAAAGGUAGGGGUCGAGAUUCAAUAGCAUAGAG